rnacentral:lncRNA from 1 species
AUGCGCGGGCAGCCAGGGCCGGGCCGUACCGCACCGCGGAGCCCGGCCCCGGCGGGCCAAAGGCCUGCGGCCUCCACAAGGUCAUCGCCGGCGGAGCGGGGCCGAGAGCUCCCGCCAGGCCCGCGGGCCGCCUCCGCGGGGCAGAGGAAGGCCGCCUCCGCGCCCGGCCCGCGUUCCGUCCGUACGACGGAAGCAGGCCGCGGCCCGCCCGGCCCCAGCCGCGACUCUGGGCCCCGCCAACGGGCCAGGCGCGGCCUCGCCACACCGGGCCUCGUCCGCCCGCCACGCCCCGGGACAGCGGAGCGAGGCCGCGCGGCGCUGCCCUCGCCCCCUCGCCCUGCCGCGGCCCGGCGGCGGCCACUUACCCUGCUCCGCCGCCCGGCGCUGCCCCGGCAGGAAGGACGCGGCUGCCGCGGUGAAGGGAGAGAGGGCGGCCUGCGGGAGCGGGGCUCCCCCUGCCGCGGCUGGUCCCGUCCCGGCCUGGCGCGGCUGGCUUGCUGGGCUGGGCAGGGCUGGCGGUGCCGGCCGCGUGCCCGCUUUCCCGUAAGCGCGCCCCCGCGGCGUCAGGCGAGCGGCGCCGCGCCGGGCCCUGCCGCUCACGUGACGGUGCUGUUUACGGGGAGGCGGUGCCACGCUGCGCAGGCGCCGGGUAGGGCCCGGCACGAUCGGGUGGGGAGGGCGCCCGUGCUGCGUGUCGUCUGCCUGCAGCGAGUUUCAGGAAUUCUCUCUCCAAGAUGCAUCUGCUUCAAAGAAUACUGCUACAUUACAAUGGAUAGCACUGAGCUACUGAGUUUAUGGCACCAAUUUCUCCACAGGCUUUCAACAAGGUAUUCAUAAGGAGAUAUGUGAAAAAGCAUAAAUCUUUGUUCUAUAAGUAACUUCAGGAAAUGGAGUCUGACAAGCCACAGUAACAAAGAACUGAUUAAGCACUGCUACAGGAUUAAAACAUCUAGCGUCCUGCCACCCUGCAGAACUUGAUCCCUUCAAGAUUCUGACCCUUAGUUUCAGAGUAUCUACCUUCUCCAUACUUCUUCAUUUUCCCCAAUUUUUAAAAUUACCCGAACACUUCAGAUUUGACUGUCAUUUUAGUUUGAAUUAUAACUGCAAUGUAACGAAGUGCCCUUUAAUUGUAAAACUCAAUUACAGCAAUUGAACAGAUGAAGGGAAGUAGGUAAGUGGAAGCACAAAGAUUGAGAUGUAACACAUCAAGACUGCUAAUUUUUAAAUAAUAUCUUCAGAAUACAAACUAGUCCUUAAACAAAGUUUGAUUUCCUCUUACAAGUUAUUUUACUACUGUUACUACUGUGUAGAAUCAUGACUAAGGUAAAACAUAUUGAGUUUCAGGCCUUUUCAAGACAUACUGACAUUUUUAUAAUGAGGCUAUACCUUUCCAGAAGCAAUUCUUCAGAAACCUCAUUAAGGUUUCUACCUUGAUAAUGAAGCAUCAUGACUCCCCUCCCCCCUCCAGCAGGGAGGUUGGAACUUGAUGACCCUUGGGGUCUCUUCCAACCCAAAUCAUUCUAUGAUUGUAUGAUAACAUAGAAAUACAUCUAUAAAGCUGGGAGAACAAUUGUAUCAGCAGCAUUUUAUUACUCCUCUGUAUUUAUUGCAAGGAAUUUCAAUAAUUAAGAUAUCUUAGUACUGAGGAAAGGAAGUCAAAAGUAAGCUCCAUAAAGAAACAUCAUAAAGAAAUACCAUACCCUCUACUAUUAAUUUUUGUCCACAUUUAUUUAUGAGUAAAACAAACAGCAAACAUUACAGCAAAGGGGACACUCUGGCCCAGAUUUGAAGAAAAAAAAAAAGAUGCCUGGAUAGAUUUAGAAUUUAGGCACCGUAAGACUGCCAAUAAAGUACACAAGAAGUGAAUCA